ACUACGAGCCAAGCUUAAAACCCAAAGGACUUGACGGUACCCCACAUCCCCCUAGAGGAGCCUGUCCUAUAAUCGAUAACCCACGUUUAACCUCACCAUUUUUAGUUAAUCAGCCUGUAUACCUCCGUCGUCAGCUUACCACGUGAGCGUUAGUUAGUGAGCCCAAUGUAUUUCACCAAAACGUCAGGUCAAGGUGCAGUAAAUGAAAUGGAAAGAGAUGGGCUACACUUUCUACUUUAGAAAAAACGAAAAACUACCUAUGAAAUCUAGUUAAAAGGCGGAUUUAGUAGUAAAAAGGAAUCAGCAUGUCCAUUUUAACCCGGCA
rnacentral:rRNA from 1 species